GACGAACGCUGGCGGCGUGCUUAACACAUGCAAGUCGAGCGGUAAGGCCCUUUCGGGGGUACACGAGCGGCGAACGGGUGAGUAACACGUGGGUGACCUGCCCUCAGCUCUGGGAUAAGCCUGGGAAACCGGGUCUAAUACUGGAUAUGACUCCAUGACGCAUGUUGUGGGGUGGAAAGCCUUGUGCGGCUGAGGAUGGGCCCGCGGCCUAUCAGCUUGUUGGUGGGGUGANGGCCUACCAAGGCGACGACGGGUAGCCGGCCUGAGAGGGCGACCGGCCACACUGGGACUGAGACACGGCCCAGACUCCUACGGGAGGCAGCAGUGGGGAAUCUUGCGCAAUGGGCGAAAGCCCUGACGCAGCGACGCCGCGUGAGGGAUGA
rnacentral:rRNA from 1 species